rnacentral:rRNA from 1 species
GAUGAACGCUGGCGGCGUGCUUAACACAUGCAAGUCGAACGGAAAGACCCUGCGUUUGUGGGUUUCUCGAUUGGCGAACGCGGGAGUAACACGUGUGUAACCUGCCCUUGACUUUGGGAUAACUUCAGGAAACUGGGUCUAAUAUCGGAUAGGAUCUCCUGCUGCGUGGUGGGGGUUGGAAAGUGUCGGCGGUUGAGGUAGGACUCGAGGCUUAUCAGCUUGUUGGUGGGGUAGGGGAUUACAAAGGCUUUGACGGGUAGCCGGCCUGAGAGGGUGACCGGCCACAGUGGGCCUGGGAUACGGCCCAGACUGAUACGGGAGGCAGGAGUGGAGAAUAUUGCGAAAUGCGCGGCAGCCUGAUGGAGCAACGCCGCGUGCGGGAUGACGGCUUUCGGGUUGUAAAACGCUUUCGCCUGUGACGAAGCGUGAGUGACGGUACUGAGUAAAGAAGCACCGGCUAACUCCGU